GUAGCUCAGUGGAUAGAGCACCAGUCUUCGGAACUGGGUGUCGGGGGUUCGAGUCCCUCCGCCCGGGCCA
rnacentral:tRNA from 1 species